GACGAACGCUGGCGGCGUGCCUAAUACAUGCAAGUCGAACGCAUUUUCUUUCACCGUAGCUUGCUACACCGAAAGAAAAUGAGUGGCGAACGGGUGAGUAACACGUGGGUAACCUGCCCAUCAGCGGGGGAUAACACUUGGAAACAGGUGCUAAUACCGCAUAAUUCCAUUUACCGCAUGGUAGAUGGAUGAAAGGCGCUUUUGCGUCACUGAUGGAUGGACCCGCGGUGCAUUAGCUAGUUGGUGGGGUAACGGCCUACCAAGGCUGCGAUGCAUAGCCGACCUGAGAGGGUGAUCGGCCACACUGGGACUGAGACACGGCCCAGACUCCUACGGGAGGCAGCAGUAGGGAAUCUUCGGCAAUGGACGCAAGUCUGACCGAGCAACGCCGCGUGAGUGAAGAAGGUUUUCGGAUCGUAAAACUCUGUUGUUAGAGAAGAACAAGGAUGAGAGUGGAAAGUUCAUCCCUUGACGGUAUCUAACCAGAAAGCCACGGCUAACUACGU
rnacentral:rRNA from 1 species